rnacentral:rRNA from 1 species
UACGGAGGGUGCAAGCGUUAUCCGGAUUCACUGGGUUUAAAGGGUGCGUAGGAGGGCAGGGAAGUCCGUGGUGAAAUCCUAGAGCUUAACUCUAGAACUGCCGUGGAUACUCUCUGUCUUGAAUCCCGUGGAGAUGAGCGGAAUAUGUCAUGUAGCGGUGAAAUGCUUAGAUAUGACAUAGAACACCAAUUGCGAAGGCAGCUCGUUACACGAAGAUUGACUCUGAGGCACGAAAGCGUGGGGAUCAAACAGGA